rnacentral:tRNA from 1 species
GGGCACGUAGCUCAAUCGGUAGAGCAGCGGUCUCCAAAGCCGCAGGUUCCAGGUUCGAACCCUGGCGGGCUCG